UACAGAGGGUGCGAGCGUUAAUCGGAAUUACUGGGCGUAAAGCGUGCGUAGACGGUUAUUUAAGUCGGGUGUGAAAGCCCCGGGCUCAACCUGGGAAUUGCAUUCGAGACUGAAUAGCUAGGGUACGGUAGAGGGAAGUGGAAUUUCCGGUGUAGCGGGUGAAAAUGCGUAGAUAUCGGAAGGAACAUCAGUGGCGAAAGCGA
rnacentral:rRNA from 1 species